rnacentral:rRNA from 1 species
GAUCAUGGCUCAGGAUGAACGCUGGCGGCGUGCCUAACACAUGCAAGUCGAACGAAGCGAUUAAGAUGAAGUUUUCGGAUGGAAUCUUGAUUGACUGAGUGGCGGACGGGUGAGUAACGCGUGGAUAACCUGCCUCACACUGGGGGAUAACAGUUAGAAAUGACUGCUAAUACCGCAUAAGCGCACAGUGCCGCAUGGCAGUGUGUGAAAAACUCCGGUGGUGUG